rnacentral:rRNA from 1 species
AUUGAACGCUGGCGGCAGGCCUAACACAUGUAAGUCGAGCGGAUGACGGGAGCUUGCUCCUUGAUUCAGCGGCGGACGGGUGAGUAAUGCCUAGGAAUCUGCCUGGUAGUGGGGGACAACGUUUCGAAAGGAACGCUAAUACCGCAUACGUCCUACGGGAGAAAGCAGGGGACCUUCGGGCCUUGCGCUAUCAGAUGAGCCUAGGUCGGAUUAGCUAGUUGGUGAGGUAAUGGCUCACCAAGGCGACGAUCCGUAACUGGUCUGAGAGGAUGAUCAGUCACACUGGAACGGAGACACGGUCCAGACUCCUACGGGAGGCAGCAGUGGGGAAUAUUGGACAAUGGGCGAAAGCCUGAUCCAGCCAUGCCGCGUGUGUGAAGAAGGUCUUCGGAUUGUAAAGCACUUUAAGUUGGGAGGAAGGGCAGUAAGUUAAUACCUUGCUGUUUUGACGUUACCGACAGAAUAAGCACCGGCUAACUCUGUGCCAGCCGCCGCCGUAAGAC